UACAGAGGUCCCAAGCGUUGUUCGGAUUCACUGGGCGUAAAGGGUGCGUAGGCGGUCGGGGUAAGUCUGAUGUGAAAUCUCACAGCUUAACUGUGAAACUGCAUUGGAUACUAUUCGGCUAGAGAGUUGGAGGGGGGACUGGAAUUCUUGGUGUAGCAGUGAAAUGCGUAGAUAUCAAGAGGAACACCAGUGGCGAAGGCGAGUCCCUGGACAACUUCUGACGCUGAGGCACGAAAGCUAGGGGAGCAAACAGG
rnacentral:rRNA from 1 species